rnacentral:rRNA from 1 species
CCCUGCCCUUUGUACACACCGCCCGUCGCUACUACCGAUUGAAUGAUUUAGUGAGGUCUUCAGACUGGUGCGCGAUAGCAUUAUUUAUAGUGCUGCCGAUGCUACUGGAAAGAUGACCAAACUUGAUC